rnacentral:rRNA from 1 species
GAUGAACGCUGACAGAAUGCUUAACACAUGCAAGUCAACUGUGGCGGACGGGUGAGUAACGCGUAAAGAACUUGCCUCACAGAUAGGGACAACAUUUGGAAACGAAUGCUAAUACCUGAUACUGUGAGAGAGCUUUGCGUCCCAUUAGCUAGUUGGAGAGGUAACGGCUAACCAAGGCGAUGAUGGGUAGCAGGCCUGAGCGGGUGAUCGGCCACAAGGGGACGGAGACACGGCCCUUACUCCUACUGGGGGAAGCAGUGGGGAAUAGUGGACAAUGGACCAAAGUCUGAUCCAGCAAUUCGGUGUGCACGAUGAGGUUUUCGGAAUGUAAAGUGCUUUCAGUUGGGAAGCAGUACCAACAGAAGAAGUGACGGCUAAAUACGUGCCAGCAGCCGCGGUAAUUC